rnacentral:rRNA from 1 species
AGAGUUUGAUCCUGGCUCAGGACGAACGCUGGCUGCGUGCUUAACACAUGCAAGUCGAACGCUGAAGCCCUGGUGCUUGCACCGGGGUGGAUGAGUGGCGAACGGGUGAGUAACACGUGAGUAACCUGCCCCCGACUUCGGGAUAAGCCCGGGAAACUGGGUCUAAUACCGGAUAUGACCAUGACUCGCAUGAGUGAUGGUGGAAAGUUUUUUCGGUUGGGGAUGGGCUCGCGGCCUAUCAGUUUGUUGGUGAGGUAAUGGCUCACCAAGACGACGACGGGUAGCCGGCCUGAGAGGGCGACCGGCCACACUGGGACUGAGACACGGCCCAGACUCCUACGGGAGGCAGCAGUGGGGAAUAUUGCACAAUGGGGGAAACCCUGAUGCAGCGACGCAGCGUGCGGGAUGACGGCCUCCGGGUUGUAAACCGCUUUCAGCAGGGAAGAAGCCUUUCGGGGUGACGGUACCUGCAGAAGAAGUACCGGCUAACUACGUGCCAGCAGCCGCGGUAAUACGUAGGGUACAAGCGUUGUCCGGAAUUAUUGGGCGUAAAGAGCUCGUAGGUGGUUGGUCACGUCUGCUGUGGAAACGCAACGCUUAACGUUGCGCGUGCAGUGGGUACGGGCUGACUAGAGUGCAGUAGGGGAGUCUGGAAUUCCUGGUGUAGCGGUGAAAUGCGCAGAUAUCAGGAGGAACACCGGUGGCGAAGGCGGGACUCUGGGCUGUAACUGACACUGAGGAGCGAAAGCAUGGGGAGCGAACAGGAUUAGAUACCCUGGUAGUCC